rnacentral:rRNA from 1 species
AGAGUUUGAUCCUGGCUCAGAAUGAACGCUGGCGGCAUGCUUUACACAUGCAAGUCGAACGGCAGCACGGGCUUCGGCCUGGUGGCGAGUGGCGAACGGGUGAGUAAUGCGUCGGAACGCGCCGAGUAGUGGGGGAUAACGCAGCGAAAGCUGUGCUAAUACCGCAUACGUACUGAGGUAGAAAGUGGGGGACCUUCGGGCCUCACGCUAUUCGAGCGGCCGACGUCUGAUUAGCUAGUUGGUGGGGUAAAGGCUCACCAAGGCGACGAUCAGUAGCGGGUCUGAGAGGAUGAUCCGCCACACUGGGACUGAGACACGGCCCAGACUCCUACGGGAGGCAGCAGUGGGGAAUUUUGGACAAUGGGCGCAAGCCUGAUCCAGCCAUGCCGCGUGUCUGAAGAAGGCCUU